rnacentral:sRNA from 18 species
UCCCUAUAGACGGACUGAACGGCACCAGGUAGCUAGAACCUGGUAGGGA